rnacentral:rRNA from 1 species
GACGAACGCUGGCGGCGCGCUUAACACAUGCAAGUCGAGCGAGAACCAGCCCUUCGGGGCUGGGGAAAGCGGCGAACGGGUGAGUAACACGUGAGUAAUCCACCCUCGGUACCGGGAUAGCCCGGGGAAACCCGGAUUAAUACCGGAUGGCCCAUCCGCACUUCGGAGCGGCUGGAAAAGGUAGCUUCGGCCUCCGACCGAGGACGAGCUCGCGGCGGAUUAGCUUGUUGGUGGGGUAACGGCCCACCAAGGCGACGAUCCGUAGCUGGUCUGAGAGGACGAUCAGCCACACUGGGACUGAGACACGGCCCAGACUCCUACGGGGGGCAGCAGUGGGGAAUCUUGCGCAAUGGGCGAAAGCCUGACGCAGCGACGCCGCGUGCGGGAAGAAGGCCUUCGGGUUGUAAACCGCUUUCAGGAGGGACGAAGCCACUCGGGUUAAUAGCCCAGAGGGUGACGGUACCUCCAGAAGAAGCCCCGGCUAACUACGUGCCAGCAGCCGCGGUAA